rnacentral:rRNA from 1 species
GGGUGUGGAAGUGCAGUAAUGCAUUAAGCUAACCAGUACUAAUUGCCCGUACGGCUUGUCCCUAUAACCUUAGCAGGUU